UACGUAGGGGGCAAGCGUUGUCCGGAUUUAUUGGGCGUAAAGAGCGUGUAGGCGGUCAGGUAGGUCCGUUGUGAAAACUCGAGGCUCAACCUCGAGACGCCGAUGGAAACCAUCUGACUAGAGUCCGGAAGAGGAGAGUGGAAUUCCUGGUGUAGCGGUGGAAUGCGCAGAUAUCAGGAGGAACACCAAUAGCGAAGGCAGCUCGCUGGGGACGGUACUG
rnacentral:rRNA from 1 species